rnacentral:rRNA from 1 species
UGAGGAAUCUUGCGCAAUGGGGGAAACCCUGACGCAGCAACGCCGCGUGAGUGAGGAGGGUCUUCGGGUCGUAAAGCUCUGUCAGGCGGGAAGAAAUGCAUGGAGGUGAACAGCCGCCAUGCUUGACGGUACCGCCAGAGGAAGCACCGGCUAACUCCGUGCCAGCAGCCGCGGUAAUACGGGGGGUGCAAGCGUUGUUCGGAAUCAUUGGGCGUAAAGAGCGUGUAGGCGGCUUGGUAAGUCAGAUGUGAAAGCCCUGGGCUCAAC